rnacentral:rRNA from 1 species
UACGGGGGGGGCAAGCGUUGUUCGGAUUUACUGGGCGUAAAGGGCGCGUAGGCGGCCAGCACAAGUCAGUUGUGAAAUCUCCGAGCUUAACUCGGAAAGGUCAACUGAUACUGUGCGGCUAGAGUGCGGAAGGGGCAACUGGAAUUCUCGGUGUAGCAGUGAAAUGCGUAGAUAUGCGGAGGAACACCGAUGGCGAAGGCAAUCCCCUGGGCCUGCACUGACGCUCAUGCACGAAAGCGUGGGGAGCAAACAGG